UCCCAGCAUCCCAGGGCAGGUUCCCGUUUGUGGCUAGGAAAGAAGAUGCAAUGUAGUUGCGAUCGAAACACAGGAGCCUCUGGUUAGAUGUCCAGACCCAUCCAACUUCACCGCCCACUUGCCAAAAUCCUCGCUUGGAUCCCAGCCACUGAUAAUUUGAGGUCAAUUUGCAAACCGCACGAAGCUGUUACUGACAGAACAGUGCGAGCAUGAAAGAGGAUGCUGAGGGCCCAUUGAGGGCUGAAGAACCUUGACAUCCCAAGGCUGAAUGUGAGACCAGCCUGGUCUACAUAGUGAGUCCAGGUCAGCCAGCCAUGCA